GACGAACGCUGGCGGCGUGCCUAAUACAUGCAAGUCGAGCGAUGAAGCUUGGUGCUUGCACCAAUUUGAAGAGCAGCGAACGGGUGAGUAACGCGUGGGGAAUCUGCCUUUGAGCGGGGGACAACAUUUGGAAACGAAUGCUAAUACCGCAUAACAACUUUAAACAUAAGUUUUAAGUUUGAAAGAUGCAAUUGCAUCACUCAAAGAUGAUCCCGCGUUGUAUUAGCUAGUUGGUGAGGUAAAGGCUCACCAAGGCGAUGAUACAUAGCCGACCUGAGAGGGUGAGCGGCCAAAUUGGGACUGAGACACGGCCCAAAAUCCUACGGGAGGCAGCAGUAGGGAAACUUCGGCAAUGGACGAAAGGCUGAACGAGCAACGCCGCGGGAGUGAAGAAGGGUUUCGGAUCGUAAAAAUCUGUUGGUAGAGAAGAACGUUGGUGAGAGUGGAAAGCUCAUCAAGUGACGGUAACUACCCAGAAAGGGACGGCUAACUACGUG
rnacentral:rRNA from 1 species